rnacentral:rRNA from 1 species
GGUUAAGCGACUAAGCGUACACGGUGGAUGCCCUGGCAGUCAGAGGCGAUGAAGGACGUGCUAAUCUGCGAUAAGCGUCGGUAAGGUGAUAUGAACCGUUAUAACCGGCGAUUUCCGAAUGGGGAAACCCAGUGUGUUUCGACACACUAUCAUUAACUGAAUCCAUAGGUUAAUGAGGCGAACCGGGGGAACUGAAACAUCUAAGUACCCCGAGGAAAAGAAAUCAACCGAGAUUCCCCCAGUAGCGGCGAGCGAACGGGGAGCAGCCCAGAGCCUGAAUCAGUAUGUGUGUUAGUGGAAGCGUCUGGAAAGGCGCGCGAUACAGGGUGACAGCCCCGUACACAAAAAUGCACAUGCUGUGAGCUCGAUGAGUAGGGCGGGACACGUGGUAUCCUGUCUGAAUAUGGGGGGACCAUCCUCCAAGGCUAAAUACUCCUGACUGACCGAUAGUGAACCAGUACCGUGAGGGAAAGGCGAAAAGAACCCCGGCGAGGGGAGUGAAAAAGAACCUGAAACCGUGUACGUACAAGCAGUGGGAGCACGCUUAGGCGUGUGACUGCGUACCUUUUGUAUAAUGGGUCAGCGACUUAUAUUCUGUAGCAAGGUUAACCGAAUAGGGGAGCCGAAGGGAAACCGAGUCUUAACUGGGCGUUAAGUUGCAGGGUAUAGACCCGAAACCCGGUGAUCUAGCCAUGGGCAGGUUGAAGGUUGGGUAACACUAACUGGAGGACCGAACCGACUAAUGUUGAAAAAUUAGCGGAUGACUUGUGGCUGGGGGUGAAAGGCCAAUCAAACCGGGAGAUAGCUGGUUCUCCCCGAAAGCUAUUUAGGUAGCGCCUCGUGAAUUCAUCUCCGGGGGUAGAGCACUGUUUCGGCAAGGGGGUCAUCCCGACUUACCAACCCGAUGCAAACUGCGAAUACCGGAGAAUGUUAUCACGGGAGACACACGGCGGGUGCUAACGUCCGUCGUGAAGAGGGAAACAACCCAGACCGCCAGCUAAGGUCCCAAAGUCAUGGUUAAGUGGGAAACGAUGUGGGAAGGCCCAGACAGCCAGGAUGUUGGCUUAGAAGCAGCCAUCAUUUAAAGAAAGCGUAAUAGCUCACUGGUCGAGUCGGCCUGCGCGGAAGAUGUAACGGGGCUAAACCAUGCACCGAAGCUGCGGCAGCGACGCUUAUGCGUUGUUGGGUAGGGGAGCGUUCUGUAAGCCUGUGAAGGUGUACUGUGAGGUAUGCUGGAGGUAUCAGAAGUGCGAAUGCUGACAUAAGUAACGAUAAAGCGGGUGAAAAGCCCGCUCGCCGGAAGACCAAGGGUUCCUGUCCAACGUUAAUCGGGGCAGGGUGAGUCGACCCCUAAGGCGAGGCCGAAAGGCGUAGUCGAUGGGAAACAGGUUAAUAUUCCUGUACUUGGUGUUACUGCGAAGGGGGGACGGAGAAGGCUAUGUUGGCCGGGCGACGGUUGUCCCGGUUUAAGCGUGUAGGCUGGUUUUCCAGGCAAAUCCGGAAAAUCAAGGCUGAGGCGUGAUCGACGAGGCACUACGGUGCUGAAGCAACAAAUGCCCUGCUUCCAGGAAAAGCCUCUAAGCAUCAGGUAACAUCAAAUCGUACCCCAAACCGACACAGGUGGUCAGGUAGAGAAUACCAAGGCGCUUGAGAGAACUCGGGUGAAGGAACUAGGCAAAAUGGUGCCGUAACUUCGGGAGAAGGCACGCUGAUAUGUAGGUGAAGCGACUUGCUCGUGGAGCUGAAAUCAGUCGAAGAUACCAGCUGGCUGCAACUGUUUAUUAAAAACACAGCACUGUGCAAACACGAAAGUGGACGUAUACGGUGUGACGCCUGCCCGGUGCCGGAAGGUUAAUUGAUGGGGUCAGCGCAAGCGAAGCUCUUGAUCGAAGCCCCGGUAAACGGCGGCCGUAACUAUAACGGUCCUAAGGUAGCGAAAUUCCUUGUCGGGUAAGUUCCGACCUGCACGAAUGGCGUAAUGAUGGCCAGGCUGUCUCCACCCGAGACUCAGUGAAAUUGAACUCGCUGUGAAGAUGCAGUGUACCCGCGGCAAGACGGAAAGACCCCGUGAACCUUUACUAUAGCUUGACACUGAACAUUGAGCCUUGAUGUGUAGGAUAGGUGGGAGGCUUUGAAGUGUGGACGCCAGUCUGCAUGGAGCCGACCUUGAAAUACCACCCUUUAAUGUUUGAUGUUCUAACGUGGACCCGUAAUCCGGGUUGCGGACAGUGUCUGGUGGGUAGUUUGACUGGGGCGGUCUCCUCCUAAAGAGUAACGGAGGAGCACGAAGGUUGGCUAAUCCUGGUCGGACAUCAGGAGGUUAGUGCAAUGGCAUAAGCCAGCUUGACUGCGAGCGUGACGGCGCGAGCAGGUGCGAAAGCAGGUCAUAGUGAUCCGGUGGUUCUGAAUGGAAGGGCCAUCGCUCAACGGAUAAAAGGUACUCCGGGGAUAACAGGCUGAUACCGCCCAAGAGUUCAUAUCGACGGCGGUGUUUGGCACCUCGAUGUCGGCUCAUCACAUCCUGGGGCUGAAGUAGGUCCCAAGGGUAUGGCUGUUCGCCAUUUAAAGUGGUACGCGAGCUGGGUUUAGAACGUCGUGAGACAGUUCGGUCCCUAUCUGCCGUGGGCGCUGGAGAACUGAGGGGGGCUGCUCCUAGUACGAGAGGACCGGAGUGGACGCAUCACUGGUGUUCGGGUUGUCAUGCCAAUGGCACUGCCCGGUAGCUAAAUGCGGAAGAGAUAAGUGCUGAAAGCAUCUAAGCACGAAACUUGCCCCGAGAUGAGUUCUCCCUGACUCCUUGAGAGUCCUGAAGGAACGUUGAAGACGACGACGUUGAUAGGCCGGGUGUGUAAGCGCAGCGAUGCGUUGAGCUAACCGGUACUAAUGAACCGUGAGGCUUAACCUUAC